GCAGAAUUCAGUGAAUCAUCGAAUCUUUGAACGCACCUUGCGCUCCCUGGUAUUCCGGGGAGCAUGCCUGUUUGAGUGUCGUGAAA
rnacentral:rRNA from 1 species